UACGUAGGGGGCGAGCGUUGUCCGGAUUUAUUGGGCGUAAAGAGCGUGAAGGCGGCCGAGAAGGUCCGUUGUGAAAACUGAAGGCUCAACCUUCAGAGGUCGAUGGAAACCGUACGGCUAGAGUCCGGAAGAGGAGAGUGGAAUUCCUGGUGUAGCGGUGAAAUGCGCAGAUAUCAGGAAGAACACCCGUGGCGAAAGCGGCUCUCUGGGACGGUACUGACGAUGAGACGCGAAAGCGUGGGGAGCGAACAGG
rnacentral:rRNA from 1 species